UGAUGUAAACAAAAAAAUAAUCCACAGCUGGAUGACAGGCUUGUAUUUCUGGCAAACAGCAUGUAAAUAAAUUGUGCACACUGAAGAAAACUGACUAUAUACAGUUUGCUCUUCUUUGGAGUUUCAAAAUUAACUUAUAUCAUUAAUAUUUAACAAUAUUCCAUGAUUUUAAAAUAAUUAAAAAUAAGUAAAUAAACAAUCAGCGAUGUUAAACGCAAUUUUGGAAUAACUAUCAGCUUGACCUAUAGUGGGUCUGCAUGUUGUGGUCCUGCCUGCAGUAGCAAUGUCCCAUGCAGCAAAAAAGGAGGGAGCUGUAACUCAAGAACAGGGGUGGGUAGACAGUUACUGUGCUUUCCAUUUCCUAUAGCUGGCAGAGGAAUUCAAGUACCAGCUGUCAAAACACAGGGUAGUUUCUAUAGUGAUUAGGGGGAUAUUGUGUGAUAUAAUUACUCAGCAAUUGCACGCUCAGCUGCCUCUUCUGUGCUAGUAACUGCCCUAGGUGGUUUGCGACACUGUCAACUCCGGAUCCAUCAAUGCUUAUCUGCAUCAAGCUGGAAAGAAUGAUUCUAAAUGAAAACACAUUUAAUCUGCUUCUGUUCUACAGCACAUGUAGAUUUUAACUGGUACCUGAAUAAAGACGGUUGUGGUGCAGUGUCUCUGCCUCCCGACAGCGAAACGAACAGCACCUUGCUCAACUCAGCGGAAAACCUUAAUAUUGAUCUGGACGCAGUCAGUGUAAAGAAUUACCACCUGAUCACCUUUGCUGGAUUAAGCAUUCUCGGACUGCUGGAAAUUGUUGUCAGUUUACUGCAGAUCAUUGCAGGAGCAUUUGGUUGUCUCUGAAGCAGUUCAAAGCGGUCAACCCAUAUAACCAGAAUUGAAUCUCUGACUUAGUAUUAAAUACAUUGUUGGUAAAAUGUGCCUUAAUUAUAAUGCAUCUCAUAACAGUGUUUUUAACCUUUAAAAUGACAGGUGCUUUAAGGCACAACCUCUUUACUUAAUUACUUAAGAUUAAAAAAACAAAGCAUUUAAAAAGCUGUCACUAUACCAAAUCUUAGAUGUGCAAGACAUUUUUAUCUGUAAAUUAUUUUGUUGCUAUUAUUGGUACUAAACUGUGUUUAUUUUAUAGUAUGCUAUUCUGGUGUAUUUGCUAAAUGAACAAAUA